rnacentral:tRNA from 1 species
GCCUUCGUGGUGUAACGGAAGCACACUCGGCGCGUAUUCGGGAGGUCCAGGUUCGAACCCGGCUAGGGCA